rnacentral:rRNA from 1 species
GAUGAACGCUGGCGGCGUGCCUAAUACAUGCAAGUCGAGCGAACGGACGAGAAGCUUGCUUCUCUGAUGUUAGCGGCGGACGGGUGAGUAACACGUGGAUAACCUACCUAUAAGACUGGGAUAACUUCGGGAAACCGGAGCUAAUACCGGAUAAUAUUUUGAACCGCAUGGUUCAAAAGUGAAAGACGGUCUUGCUGUCACUUAUAGAUGGAUCCGCGCUGCAUUAGCUAGUUGGUAAGGUAACGGCUUACCAAGGCAACGAUGCAUAGCCGACCUGAGAGGGUGAUCGGCCACACUGGAACUGAGACACGGUCCAGACUCCUACGGGAGGCAGCAGUAGGGAAUCUUCCGCAAUGGGCGAAAGCCUGACGGAGCAACGCCGCGUGAGUGAUGAAGGUCUUCGGAUCGUAAAACUCUGUUAUUAGGGAAGAACAUAUGUGUAAGUAACUGUGCACAUCUUGACGGUACCUAAUCAGAAAGCCACGGCUAACUACGUGCCAGCAGCCGCGGUAAUACGUAGGUGGCAAGCGUUAUCCGGAAUUAUUGGGCGUAAAGCGCGCGUAGGCGGUUUUUUAAGUCUGAUGUGAAAGCCCACGGCUCAACCGUGGAGGGUCAUUGGAAACUGGAAAACUUGAGUGCAGAAGAGGAAAGUGGAAUUCCAUGUGUAGCGGUGAAAUGCGCAGAGAUAUGGAGGAACACCAGUGGCGAAGGCGACUUUCUGGUCUGUAACUGACGCUGAUGUGCGAAAGCGUGGGGAUCAAACAGGAUUAGAUACCCUGGUAGUCCACGCCGUAAACGAUGAGUGCUAAGUGUUAGGGGGUUUCCGCCCCUUAGUGCUGCAGCUAACGCAUUAAGCACUCCGCCUGGGGAGUACGACCGCAAGGUUGAAACUCAAAGGAAUUGACGGGGACCCGCACAAGCGGUGGAGCAUGUGGUUUAAUUCGAAGCAACGCGAAGAACCUUACCAAAUCUUGACAUCCUUUGACAACUCUAGAGAUAGAGCCUUCCCCUUCGGGGGACAAAGUGACAGGUGGUGCAUGGUUGUCGUCAGCUCGUGUCGUGAGAUGUUGGGUUAAGUCCCGCAACGAGCGCAACCCUUAAGCUUAGUUGCCAUCAUUAAGUUGGGCACUCUAAGUUGACUGCCGGUGACAAACCGGAGGAAGGUGGGGAUGACGUCAAAUCAUCAUGCCCCUUAUGAUUUGGGCUACGCACGUGCUACAAUGGACAAUACAAAGGGCAGCGAAACCGCGAGGUCAAGCAAAUCCCAUAAAGUUGUUCUCAGUUCGGAUUGUAGUCUGCAACUCGACUACAUGAAGCUGGAAUCGCUAGUAAUCGUAGAUCAGUAUGCUACGGUGAAUACGUUCCCGGGUCU